rnacentral:rRNA from 1 species
GACGAACGCUGGCGGCGUGCUUAACACAUGCAAGUUGCGCGAGAAAGCUACCUUCGGGUAGUGAGUAAAGCGGCGAACGGGUGAGUAACGCGUGGGUUACCUACCUCUAAGUUAGGGAUAACUUCUCGAAAGGGAAGCUAAUACCUGAUAUCAAAAGAUGGCUUUGCUAUCGCUUAGGGAUGGGCCCGCGUCCCAUUAGCUUGUUGGUAGUGUAAGAGACUACCAAAGCAACAAUGGGUAGCCGACCUGAGAGGGUGAUCGGCCACACUGGGACUGAGACACGGCCCAGACUCCUACGGGAGGCUGCAGUGGGGAAUCUUCCGCAAUGAGCGAAAGCUUGACGGAGCAACGCCGCGUGAGUGAUGAAGGCCUUCGGGUCGUAAAGCUCUGUCCUUAGGGAAGAACACCCCAGUAGAUAAUAACUGCUGGGAUUGACGGUACCUUUGGAGGAAGCCUCGGCUAAUUACGUGCCAGCAGCCGCGGUAAUACGUAAGAGGCAAGCGUUGUCCGGAAUCACUGGGCGUGAAGGGUGCGCAGGCGUCUAGUAAGUCAAAAGUGAAAUCCAUCGGCUCAACCGGUGAACUGCUUUUGAAACUACUAGACUUGAGAAUAGGAGAAGAGAGUGGAAUUCCUGGUGUAGUGGUGAAAUACGUAGAUAUCAGGAAGAAUACCAAUGGCGAAAGCAGCUCUCUAGCCUAAUUCUGACGCUGAGGUACGAAAGCUAGGGUAUCAAACGGGAUUAGAUACCCCGGUAGUCCUAGCUGUAAACGCUGGAUACUAGGUGUUGGGGGUUCAACUCCCUCAGUGCUGCAGUUAACGCUUUAAGUAUCCCGCCUGGGGAUUACGACCGCAAGGUUGAAACUCAAAGGAAUUGACGGGGGCCCGCACAAGCGGCGGAGCAUGUGGUUUAAUUCGAAGCAACGCGCA